rnacentral:rRNA from 1 species
UACGGGGGGGGCAAGCGUUGUUCGGAAUUACUGGGCGUAAAGGGUUCGUAGGUGGCCAACUAAGUCAUACGUGAAAUCCCUCAGCUUAACUGGGGAACUGCGUCUGAUACUGGUUGGCUUGAGUGGAGGAGAGGAACGCGGAAUUCCAGGUGUAGCGGUGAAAUGCGUAGAUAUCUGGAGGAACACCGGUGGCGAAGGCGGCGUUCUGGACUGCAACUGACACUGAGGAACGAAAGCCAGGGGAGCAAACGGG